rnacentral:snRNA from 13 species
AUACUUACCAGGUUUCGAUUAUUGGUGAUCAAAAAGGCCAAUAAUACAUUAAGGUUACAGAUCCUUUACACAAUGAUUUGAUCUUGGUGUCCGCCUGAGAGGGACCUAACUUAUGGCAGAGUGGAAUGUGUGCAAGUCGCAAUUCCACU